rnacentral:rRNA from 1 species
GUGCAGCAGUCGCGAAAACUCCGCAAUACGCGCAAGCGUGACUGGGCCAUCCCGAGUGCCGUCCGCUGAGGAUGGCUUUUCCCUAGUGUAGAUAGCUGGGGGAAUAAGGGGAGGGCAAGUCUGGUGUCAGCCGCCGCGGUAAUACCAGCUCUUCGAGUGGUAGGGAUGUUUAUUGGGCCUGAAGCAUCCGUAGCUGGCUGUGCGAGUCCUCCGUUAAAUCCAGCGAUUUAAUCGUUGGAUUGCGGGGGAUACUGUGCGGCUAGUGGAUGGGAGAAGCCAACGGUAUUCCCGGGGUAGGGGUGAAAUCCUAUGAUCCCGGGAGGACCACCAGUGGCGAAGGCUGUUGGCUAGAACACGCCCGACGGUGAGGGAUGAAAGCUGGGGGAGCGAACCGGAUUAGAUACCCGGGUAGUCC